rnacentral:misc_RNA from 1 species
CCGUUGCUUUCUGCCGCCUCCCUCCACCCCCACCCCUCUACCACUGCCACACGCACCCACCCAUACAAACUGGACCGCUUUCAGUGCUUUGGAGGAGGCCGAACACACACGCAGAGAACUCGGUUUACACACACACACACACACACACACACACACACACACACACACACACACAUCUGCUCAUCCGUGUGCGCCCCACGCGCGAACCGGCUUGAGUAGCCAUCCUAAUUGCCAUCAGUGCCUCACCCCUCACUCGCGUCUUAGUUGUGGUUCCCCACCAACCUCGACUCCCUUCCUCAGCACCAUUACUUGUCCUUUCUCGCUCCAUCUUGCGCGCAUCAUCAAUCAUCGACAGUCGCCAUCGCUCUCUCCUCACCCACUGGCACCGCCAUGGCGACCUCCACUAGCGAGUUUACCGAGUUUGUACGUGAGUGGGGUGGUCUACUGGCAAAAGACUCAUCGGCGUCGAUGGAUCAUCUCUUCAGCGCAUACGCGAGACUCAAAGAGGCGAACGAACUUGCUAGCAGCGGCAGCAGCAACAGCGAAGGUAGCGGCGAGUCGCCGUUCGGCUCCCCUGUCGCGUCCAUUGAGGACUUCACCGACGUCUGGGCCGCAGCCAAGCGCGCGAACAAGGAGUGGGAGGCUACGUGCAUGGUGCGCAGCAUACGCCGCUCCAUCGGCGGCUCCGUUACCCAGACUCGGCUGAUGCUCUCCAUGAUCUGCUGGGCCGCCAUGCUGCGGCAAGAAGAGCAGAGAUUCUUCAAGGAGUUCCUUGCACAAGUACGCGAGAUAAUUCACCGCGCUGCUCUGCGCUGCACCGCCUCCGGCUAUGGUGAGGACUCGGAAUCGAUCUACGAGGAAGUUGCAUUUUGUGUCGCUCUCGAGCUGCUUGGGUGGCACGACAGCUUGCUGAUCUGCCUCCAGCGUGCCAUGGCCUCCCCCCCACCUCUGCGCACCGAGGAAGACGUCCUGCUGUUUACCCGAAAGGUAGCCCAAGAGCUCGUAUCAGCCCUCAGUCCGCGCCAAUACAGCACCGACAGCACGCCCGCCAUCACCAUCACCCGCUCGUCGGCGACGAGCAACUCGUUGGAGCACGAGCCGCCCGCGCCUACCGCCGUGGCCGAUACCAGGAACGAAGCGAUGGCGGGAGACGGGGUCGUCGUCAUCUCGAAGAGGCGGUCGCCAUACAAGGAAGGUGCAUCAUCAUUGUCGCGGUGCCGUGGCGAGCACGCGCACACAGCUGGACGCAGUGCCACGAUCAUCUCCAUCGCAGUCCCCCUCCCCACCCCCUCUCCCAGGAAUACCACAGACACCCGAAAACCGUGGCAGGCGGCUUGUGGCACGCUAAGCACGGGCGUAACCCCCUUGCCGACGCCCGCGAGGUCGCCGAUGGGGUCCACAACGCACAGAGAUGCAGCCUCUGCUGCCUUGUCCCCACUGCCACCACCACCGCUGCCCACUCAGCCCUCCCCACCCACGCGUGCUCCACCGCCGCGGUCGCCGAUUAGAGGAUCGCUGGCACCAACCUUAGCUCCCACUCACCGCUCAUCCGCCGCCGUCGCCGCCGACUCUCCAUACAAGGAGUUCGAGAGAGCUCUGCGGGAGGUGUGUUCCUCUCUCACCCGCCCUUCUGCUUGCCAGGAGGACCCGCCACACACGAAGGAUAACGCACGCAGCACGGUCGAGUCCUCAAGCAAGUGAACAAGCACCAAGCUGCGGAUGGGUAAAGAAGAUGAAGGUUGCGCUGUGCUUUAGCGCGCGGCAUAUGAUACGCGCAUCGCAGCGGACGUCAACGCGGGGGGGGCAGGGUGGGAAGCAGUGACGCGGACUAGAGAAAGAGCUUGCACGAACCGCCGAGGCCACCUGCACUUCAGCAGCAUGUAUGCUUGUGUGUGUCGCUCUCCUAGUGACGUCGUGCGACCCUCUUUUCAAUCUCCUCUCUUGUUUCUUGUGCUUCUUUUCGUGCAGACUCGCUUUACUGCGCAAGGCCAGCCGUGAGGGACUGGAGCGGGGUGGAGUGGGGAGAUGGGGGGGAAGUAGAUGAGUCGUGGGCCUCCCCCCUCCCUUCCCCCGUUCUCGCACUGCUGCUCUAUUGUUGGCCGUUGCGCUUCGGUGAACAAUCUACAUUGCUAUCCUUUUUGACCUCUGCCGAUCCGUUGAGAGAGAAAUGCCGCAGCCGGCCUUCUCCCUCUUCCCCUUGUCUGCCUGGUACCUCUGAUUUCUCUCAAGUCCGCAUAGCUUACCUCCGUCGCGGCCACCCCCAUCCUCCCUGCCUCCUUCACCCAGGAACGCACUCGCUCCCACUAACGCAAAUCAUGUACGUCGGUGCAGUAAGUGCGUGCGCGCACGUGGUUUGCUUGCCUAUCUCGGCAAAACAGAGAGGUAACGGGCUACAGGCAGGAGUGGGGCAUUUCUUCGCAAUGCGCGCGCAUACAUGCACGUGUUUGCAUCCGUGUCUGCGUGAUCUAGCACGCUUCGUCAAUGAAAGGCAAGCGUACGCAUAACGGAGACGAUAGAGGGCUUCUCACAAAUAUAAAUGGGAAGCACGGAGCUAGUUGUCUGUCUGUCUCUGCGUGCAUGGGCGAUGCCCGAGGUGGUGGUGGAGGGGAGGGACCACACGAGGGAGGGUGGAUGCAUAACGGCUAGCAAAGGACGUAAACCCACGUAUGCACGUGCGCCCGCCCGCACAAAAGCUGGUAGGGGUUGCUGCGUCUUCUCACGCUGCUCUCCCCACUCGCACAUAGACACGUUUGCAUAUUUGUUCUUUACCGCCUUAUACGCGGAGAGUCGCGCAGCGUGUACGGGGGCAUGCGUGCAGACACAUCCACACACACACACACACACACACACACACACACACACACACACACACACACACACACACACACUACCGGUGAUGUGCGUGGUUGGUGGAGUUGUCAGCUUACCGCUGGUCCCUCAAAUCGAACUUUGCUUUUCCGGUGGUUUUCCUAUUGCCCACUCCCUCUUCUUCCACUUCUUCCUCCUAUUCUUGCUGAGUAUCGGCGGGUGCCGUCACGAAGGCAUGCCCGUGUUUCUGCGUGUCUUGGUAUCAACGUCUCUGUCCGUCUCUUUCUAUGCAUGCCAGCGCCUUCUUGUCGUGGCUCGUCUGCUUUUGUUUGAUUGCGUGUUUUCGUUGCUCGCUCUCUCUUCUCCUUGUUCCUUCUCCAGAUUCUUGGAGCCUGUCUCGGGUUUCACAUCGCCCCCCCCCUCCCCCUCUCCUUCAUGCCUUCUCACUCACAUCGUUCUAGAUUCUUGCUUUUCUUCGUGUACCACUGCUUCUAUCUUUCCACGUUCUCUCUUCCUCUCUCUGAGUCGGUUGCACCGCCGCUGGACGGUGCCGAUUACGGUGCGGGCGGCAGCAGCGCUUUGGCGUUGUCAUUACUGUUUACCUUCGCGGGCGUGGAGAUGCUCAGCCUUGAGACGUCUCUCUCUCCACGUAUCAGCUCCUCUGGUUCUCAUUCUCUCCAUAUUGAUUUGUGCCGUGCUCGUGGUUCUUUUCCAUGGGCUGCCUCACACAUCGCAUCUUCCCCUUUGUGCCGCGCUUCUGCAUCAGCAUGUUCGCACGUUGCUCUUAGUCGCCUUUUUCUUGGUUUUGGUGUAUGCACCCGUGCCCACCGUUUUCCCUUCUCCUCGUCUCUCCUCUGCUUCGCCAGCUCCAGUGCGCGCGCUUACGCGUAUGCGUCCGCAUCGCUCUCGCUCUCCCUCUCACACAUCUUCCCUCUUUGCGAGUGCGCAUUCAGCCGCCCUCCUUCUUUUUUUCUUCGCCGUUGAGCUUCCUCUUGUUGUCGAUUUUUGUGCUCAUGUGUGUGUCUGAGUGCUUGUGUGUGACUGUCCUUAGGUUUCUGUCCUCUCUCACCCGAUGAUGGAGGAAACCCCCUCUCCGUGCGUGGUAUCAACAAGGGUCCAGUGCACCCCCCCCUCCCCACACACACACACUCUCUCUCUCGGGGAGGAAGCCACGCAGCCCCUGGUCCUUGCCAAUGCCAAAGGACUUCCUGGCGGUGACGGCGCCAAGUGCCUAGGACGUGGGGAAGUCAGAGGGAUUCAUUGCGACUCAUGGCGGCGGCGAGGUCGUGGAUGGUGAUGCGUCGGAGCGACCUGCGACCGUGAACACGCUUGUGCCAUCCAUAUGAUGGGCAAAGUGUCCGCGUAACUCGAACGAAUCCCACCCACCCCCGAUUUUCACUGCCCACUGGUAGAGGAGCCUGCGCCACCCCGAAGGGGAUGCACCGGGUGGCGGCGUGGGAAGUGGGUGGGCGGAGCUCGAGUCAGAGGCCGUGCUCAGAUGACUGGGUCGGCGCAUUGCUGCAACGCGUGUGUACGGCUGCUUCGCACCACGCGAUGUGGGGCCUGUGGCAGGCCGGCGGGGGGAUCGAGUGAAGUCUCACUCGUGUUGUAUCGCAGAGAAUGGGCACGCUGAAAACAACAAGGGGGCGCUGUUUGGCGUGUGCGCCGCGCUUUGGGGUAGUUUUGAUGGUGCUAUACACGGAAGUGCGGGCGUGCGUGCGUGCAUGCGUGCGCGUCUCACCUACGAGUUCGUUCGCUUGUUAUCUCUUCCAGUCAACUGCGGCAGCAUGUGCGUGCUCACGCGAGUCCAUACGACCACAGCUGAUGCAGCCCUCGCUUCUCUGCUUGCUGCAUGAAACGUACGCGCACAGGCAAACACCUUUUUCUUCGUCGCACUGUGUAGCCCCUAAAGCGCUCUUUGCCGUGCGCCUUCCCUUUGUUUCUUUCCUUUGGUGAUUGCGGGGGACGCUCGCUGGAAGGCGGAGGUGGGGGAGGGGGCAGCAUUUUAUGUUCGCUCUCUGUCUGUCGGACUCGCUGAUUUUUGCCUCCCCUGCUUAAAAUCUUCCACGGUGUUUGUGCUUGGGCUUCGCGUCUCUAUCAUUCUCACAAAAUUCCUGCUCAAGAAAGGAAUACAGGGCGAAGUCGCCUUCCGUAUGCCGCACAUGUUUUCAUCUAUCUCUGUGCGCCCCUCUCCCUCUCUCGCGCACGCGUGCUUGUGAGUGCGGGACGGUAGAAAAAGGGAGAUGGGGUCUUGUGCUCGAGGGGAUGGUCGCCACUGCUGCAUCUUCGGCAGAAUCUGAGGGUCACGGUAUAAAUGGUGACUUGCAACGUCGACUUUGCCUCUGCAUGUGUACUCUUUCCCCUUUCAUUCUAGACUAGCUAAAUGGGCACUCACGUGAGUGUACUGAUGCUAACGGUGUUGCUGAGAGACUCCGGACACCACCAACAGCUCCUGCACCACCUCCGC